rnacentral:lncRNA from 1 species
UGCUUGACUGAUGUUCGUCGAAUGGUGCCACCCAGUCGUCGAUUCCGAUAGUCAGUAGGGCGUCGAGUAAGUAGUCGGCCGUAUGUCAAGUAUUACACGUCAUCAUAGCUGACGCAUCGAAUUGGAUCGGCUUAAUGCCGACUUGGUUAAGUGUGUUGCUUUUAGUCGGUCAAACAUCAUCGAUCUCAAUCAGUGGAGAGCUGAUUGGAGUAAAACUCGUUGAUCCAAAUUGGGUUGGGCCACAGCA